rfam:Triticum aestivum genome assembly, contig: Triticum_aestivum_CS42_TGACv1_scaffold_363877_4DS
UAUCUACCCCCUCCAUCCGGAAAUACUUGUCCUAGAAAUGAAUAAAAUGGAUGUAUAUAACUAAAAUAAGUCUAGAUACAUCCAUUUCUAGGACAAGUAUUUCCAGAUGGAGGGAGUAUAUA